rnacentral:rRNA from 1 species
UACGUAGGGUGCGAGCGUUGUCCGGAAUUAUUGGGCGUAAAGAGCUCGUAGGCGGUGUGUCACGUCGGCCGUGAAAACCUGGGGCUUAACUCUGGGCGUGCGGUCGAUACGGGCAUCACUAGAGUGCGGCAGGGGAGACUGGAAUUCCUGGUGUAGCGGUGAAAUGCGCAGAUAUCAGGAGGAACACCGGUGGCGAAGGCGGGUCUCUGGGCCUAUACUGACGCUGAGGAGCGAAAGCGUGGGUAGCGAACAGG